rnacentral:rRNA from 1 species
UGCAGUCGCACGAGAAAGGGGGCAACCCUGAGUACAGUGGCGUACGGGUGAGUAACACGUGGAUGAUCUACCUCUUAGUGGGGAAUAACCCUGGGAAACCGGGGCUAAUACCGCAUAAGCUCUAGCGAGGAAAGCAGCAAUGCGCUGAGAGAGGAGUCCGCGGCCGAUUAGCUAGUUGGGAGGGUAAAAGCCUACCAAGGCAGAGAUCGGUAGCCGGCCUGAGAGGGCACACGGCCACACUGGCACUGAAACACGGGCCAGACUCCUACGGGAGGCAGCAGUGGGGAAUCUUGCACAAUGGGGGAAACCCUGAUGCAGCGACGCCGCGUGAGCGAUGAAGCCCUUCGGGGUGUAAAGCUCUUUCGGCAGGGAAGAUGAUGACGGUACCUGCAGAAGCAGCUGCGGCUAACUACGUGCCAGCAGCCGCGGUAAUACGUAGGCAGCGAGCGUUGUUCGGAGUUACUGGGCGUAAAGGGUGUGUAGGCGGUUGUUUAAGUUUGGUG